rnacentral:rRNA from 1 species
UACAGAGGUCCCAAGCGUUGUUCGGAUUCACUGGGCGUAAAGGGUGCGCAGGUGGGUUGGCAAGUUCGAUGUGAAAGCCCCGGGCUUAACCGGGGAAUGGCAUUGGAUACUGCUGAUCUGGAGGAUCGGAGGGGGGACUGGAAUUCUUGGUGUAGCAGUGAAAUGCGUAGAUAUCAAGAGGAACACCAGUGGCGAAGGCGAGUCCCUGGACGAUACCUGACACUGAGGCACGAAAGCCAAGGGAGCAAACAGG